AUAUCAUUAAGCGGGAAGGAAAAGAAACUAACGAGGAUUGCCCCAGUAGCGGCGAGUGAACAGGCAAGAGCUCAAGCUUAGAAUCUGUAUCGUAGAGGUGCAGAAUUGUAAUCUAUAGAGGUGUUCGGAAGGCAUGUGGCUCGCAUAAGUUCCUUGGAACAGACGUCAAAGAGGGUGACAACCCCGUAGUCGGCGAGACGCGGCUGUACGAAUGCUUUCGAAGAGUCGGGUUGUUUGGGAUUGCAGCCCUAAAUGGGAGAUAAACUUCUUCUAAAGCUAAAUAACUAUGGGAGACCGAUAGCGCACAAGUA
rnacentral:rRNA from 1 species